CCUACGGGAGGCAGCAGUGGGGAAUUUUGGACAAUGGGCGCAAGCCUGAUCCAGCCAUGCCGCGUGCGGGAAGAAGGCCUUCGGGUUGUAAACCGCUUUUGUCAGGGAAGAAAUCCUUUGGGUUAAUACCUCGGAGGGAUGACGGUACCUGAAGAAUAAGCACCGGCUAACUACGUGCCAGCAGCCGCGGUAAUACGUAGGGUGCGAGCGUUAAUCGGAAUUACUGGGCGUAAAGCGUGCGCAGGCGGUUAUGCAAGACAGAUGUGAAAUCCCCGGGCUCAACCUGGGAACUGCAUUUGUGACUGCAUAGCUAGAGUACGGUAGAGGGGGAUGGAAUUCCGCGUGUAGCAGUGAAAUGCGUAGAUAUGCGGAGGAACACCGAUGGCGAAGGCAAUCCCCUGGACCUGUACUGACGCUCAUGCACGAAAGCGUGGGGAGCAAACAGGAUUAGAUACCCUGGUAGUCCACGCCCUAAACGAUGUCAACUGGUUGUUGGACGGCUUGCUGUUCAGUAACGAAGCUAACGCGUGAAGUUGACCGCCUGGGGAGUACGGCGCAAGGUUGAAACUCAAAGGAUUGACGGCUGAGACGNGCGAGACGACGACGAGGGAGGAGG
rnacentral:rRNA from 1 species